rnacentral:rRNA from 1 species
UACGAAGGGGGCUAGCGUUGCUCGGAAUCACUGGGCGUAAAGCGCACGUAGGCGGAUUGCUAAGUCAGGGGUGAAAUCCUGGAGCUCAACUCCAGAACUGCCUUUGAUACUGGCGAUCUCGAGUUCGGGAGAGGUGAGUGGAACUGCGAGUGUAGAGGUGAAAUUCGUAGAUAUUCGGAAGAACACCAGUGGCGAAGGCGGCUCACUGGCCCGGUACUGACGCUGAGGUGCGAAAGCGUGGGGAGCAAACAGG